CCAACCCAAUGUGACGUUACCAAACUGUUGCCUCGGCGGGGUCACGCCCCGGGUGCGUAAAAGCCCCGGAACCAGGCGCCCGCCGGAGGAACCAACCAAACUCUUUCUGUAGUCCCCUCGCGGACGUAUUUCUUACAGCUCUGAGCAAAAAUUCAAAAUGAAUCAAAACUUUCAACAACGGAUCUCUUGGUUCUGGCAUCGAUGAAGAACGCAGCGAAAUGCGAUAAGUAAUGUGAAUUGCAGAAUUCAGUGAAUCAUCGAAUCUUUGAACGCACAUUGCGCCCGCCAGUAUUCUGGCGGGCAUGCCUGUCCGAGCGUCAUUUCAACCCUCGAACCCCUCCGGGGGAUCGGCGUUGGGGAUCGGGACCCCUCACCGGGUGCCGGCCCUGAAAUACAGUGGCGGUCUCGCCGCAGCCUCUCCUGCGCAGUAGUUUGCACAACUCGCACCGGGAGCGCGGCGCGUCCACGUCCGUAAAACACCCAACUUCUGAAAUGUUGACCUCGGAUCAGGUAGGAAUACCCGCUGAACUUAAGCAUAUCA
rnacentral:rRNA from 1 species